rnacentral:lncRNA from 1 species
GAUUUCCAUCCUUUUGAUUCCGUUAACGAGCAGAGCAUUUAUGUCGGCCUACACUCGCCUCUGUGUGCGUGGAUGGAGGUCUGAGCGAUGUUACUCUUCCAGACAGAGAGAAGAGAAGACCAACUGCUUCAGCCAGGGAGGGAAUUCAACCGGCGAGCACAGACUGUGGGUAACCACUCCGGCAUUCCCACGCAUUGCCAAGCACCAGCAAGCCUUGAAUUUACGAGCUCAGUCUGAGUUGCAAAUUGAACGAGACCUGCUUCUUUUGAACUUCCUAGCUUCAUAGUUUUGAUUCUUAUGUUUCAUUAUAUUAAAUCCUUUCUUGUUUGGGACAGUAUAAAACUUCUGCUUUCUUUUUUUGCAUUAGCAAGAAAGAAUCACUUUCUG